rfam:Bombyx mori DNA, contig: Bm_scaf12_contig9588, strain: p50T/Dazao, build 2, whole genome shotgun sequence.
UUAAGUCAAAUUUGUAUGGAAUUGGAACGUUUGCCGCUAGGGGCGCUGUUCCAAUUGCAUACAAAUGUGAGUUA